rnacentral:rRNA from 1 species
AACGAACGCUGUCGGCAUGCCUAACACAUGCAAGUCGAACGAGACCUUCGGGUCUAGUGGCGCACGGGUGCGUAACGCGUGGGAACCUGCCUUUAGGUUCGGAAUAACUCAGAGAAAUUUGAGCUAAUACCGGAUGAUGUCUUCGGACCAAAGAUUUAUCGCCUUUAGAUGGGCCCGCGUUGGAUUAGCUAGUUGGUGGGGUAAAGGCCUACCAAGGCGACGAUCCAUAGCUGGUCUGAGAGGAUGAUCAGCCACACUGGGACUGAGACACGGCCCAGACUCCUACGGGAGGCAGCAGUGGGGAAUAUUGGACAAUGGGCGAAAGCCUGAUCCAGCAAUGCCGCGUGAGUGAUGAAGGCCUUAGGGUUGUAAAGCUCUUUUACCCGAGAUGAUAAUGACAGUAUCGGGAGAAUAAGCUCCGGCUAACUCCGUG